rnacentral:tRNA from 1 species
GGAGGGGUACUCAAGCGGUGAAGAGGUUAGUUUGCUAAACUAAUAGGUCGAGUAAUCGGCGCGAGGGUUCGAAUCCCUCCCCCUCCAC